GACGAACGCUGGCGGCGUGCUUAACACAUGCAAGUCGAACGAUGAAGCUGGAGCUUGCUCCGGUGGAUUAGUGGCGAACGGGUGAGUAACACGUGAGUAAUCUGCCCUUGACUCUGGGAUAACUGCGGGAAACUGUAGCUAAUACCGGAUACGACACCUUCGGGCAUCCGAUUGGUGUGGAAAGAAUUUCGGUCAAGGACGAACUCGCGGCCUAUCAGCUAGUUGGUGAGGUAAUGGCUCACCAAGGCGACGACGGGUAGCCGGCCUGAGAGGGUGGCCGGCCACACUGGGACUGAGACACGGCCAAGAAUCCUACGGGAGGCAGCAGUGGGGAAUAUUGCACAAUGGGCGAAAGCCUGAUGCAGCAACGCCGCGUGAGGGAUGAAGGCCUUCGGGUUGUAAACCUCUUUUAGUUGGGAAGAAGCGAAAGUGACGGUACCAACAGAAAAAGCACCGGCUAACUACGUGCCAGCCGCCGCGGUAA
rnacentral:rRNA from 1 species